UACGUAGGGGGCGAGCGUUGUCCGGAAUUACUGGGCGUAAAGAGAGCGUAGGCGGCACUACAAGUCUCAUGUGAAAUACCCGGGCUUAACUUGGGGGUUGCAUGGGAAACUGUAGAGCUUGAGUACAGGAGAGGCAAGCGGAAUUCCUAGUGUAGCGGUGAAAUGCAUAGAUAUUAGGAGGAACACCCGUGGCGAAGGCGGCUUGCUGGACUGAAACUGACGCUGAGGCUCGAAAGCGUGGGGAGCAAACAGG
rnacentral:rRNA from 1 species